GAUGAACGCUGGCGGCGUGCCUAAUACAUGCAAGUCGAGCGAACGGACGAGAAGCUUGCUUCUCUGAUGUUAGCGGCGGACGGGUGAGUAACACGUGGAUAACCUACCUAUAAGACUGGGAUAACUUCGGGAAACCGGAGCUAAUACCGGAUGAUAUUUUGAACCGCAUGGUUCAAAAGUGAAAGACGGUCUUGCUGUCACUUAUAGAUGGAUCCGCGCUGCAUUAGCUAGUUGGUAAGGUAACGGCUUACCAAGGCAACGAUGCAUAGCCGACCUGAGAGGGUGAUCGGCCACACUGGAACUGAGACACGGUCCAGACUCCUACGGGAGGCAGCAGUAGGGAAUCUUCCGCAAUGGGCGAAAGCCUGACGGAGCAACGCCGCGUGAGUGAUGAAGGUCUUCGGAUCGUAAAACUCUGUUAUGAGGGAAGAACAGAUGUGUAAGUAACUGUGCACAUCUUGACGGUACCUAAUCAGAAAGCCACGGCUAACUACGUG
rnacentral:rRNA from 1 species